CCACCACUACUGACCACAACCAACCUCCCUGGAUGACCAACAACCAUCCAGACCUCUCGAAGGCCCCUAACAUCUAUAUACCCUCUGAAAGUGCCGAGAAUUCCAAAUGUCACACAGUUACUGGAACCAUCUGCAGCUGGAAAUCACGCCCCUGCUGGAGCAUGAGGCAAGUCAUAGUCAGCUUCUAUGAAGAAUCUGAAGCAGCCCGAUAUCCCACACCUGGGAUCAAAACAAAACCGUAUUCUUAUACUUCUCUGUGUGUGGGUUUUUUCUUAAGAAACCAAAAUUCCAAAAUUGUCACUAUAGCCCUCAGAAGGAACCUACUUUGUAGACACUGUGAUGUUGCAAUUUUGUAUCCAGGACCUUGAGCAAAUAACUAUCUCUGAUUCAAACCAGUAGAUACUUUGUUGGCCCCAGAAAACUCACAAAAACUAAAGAGAGUAAAGUCAGAAACUUUGAAAUUGGAUGCCUAGCUUGCACAGAAAUGCCAGGGUUUAUAGCUCAUCACUCACAACUUUGUAUUUUUUGUCAGCCCCCCCCACCCCCAGGAGAACUAAGUUUGCUAUUUCAUGUUUGAUACUUUCUUGUCUCUGCCAUGGAAACAAUAGUAAUAAUAAUUUUUAAAACUCACUUUAUUGGAUUUACUGUGUGUCUUAGUUAGGGUUUCUCCCUUCAGGCUCCUGAUUUGAGUUCCUGCACUGAAUUCUCUCAGGAAUGAUAGACAGUUACCUGAAACCGUGAGCUGAAAUAAACCCGUUCUUCCACCAACUUGCUUUUGGUCACAGUCUUUAUCACAGCAUAAAAACCCAACUAAGAUAGAUGACAAGCCAACGUCAAGCUAA
rnacentral:lncRNA from 1 species